rnacentral:tRNA from 1 species
GGCACCAUGGCCGAGUGGUUAGGCAAAGGUCUGCAAAACCUUUUACAGUAGUUCAAAUCUACUUGGUGCCU